rnacentral:rRNA from 1 species
GACGAACGCUGGCGGCAGGCUUAACACAUGCAAGUCGAACGGACGUAGCAAUACGUUAGUGGCAGACGGGUGAGUAACGCGUAGGAAUAUGCCCUUUAGUUCGGAAUAACCAAGGGAAACUUUGGCUAAUACCGGAUAAUCCCGAGAGGGGAAAGAUUUAUCGCUGAAGGAGUAGCCCGCGUCUGAUUAGCUAGUUGGUGAGGUAAUGGCUCACCAAGGCGACGAUCAGUAGCUGGUCUGAGAGGAUGAUCAGCCACACUGGGACUGAGACACGGCCCAGACUCCUACGGGAGGCAGCAGUGGGGAAUAUUGGACAGUGGGGGCAACCCUGAUCCAGCCAUGCCGCGUGAGUGAUGAAGGCCUUAGGGUUGUAAAACUCUUUUAUCCGGGAAGAUAAUGACUGUACCGGAAGAACAAGCCCCGGCUAACCUCGUGCCAGCAGCCGCGGUAA